GAUGAAGAACGCAGCGAAAUGCGAUAAGUAAUGUGAAUUGCAGAAUUCAGUGAAUCAUCGAAUCUUUGAACGCACAUUGCGCCCGCCAGUAUUCUGGCGGGCAUGCCUGUUCGAGCGUCAUUUCAACCAUCAAGCCCCCGGGCUUGUGUUGGGGGCCUGCGGCUGCCGCAGGCCCUGAAAAGCAGUGGCGGGCUCGCUGUCACACCGAGCGUAGUAGCAUACAUCUCGCUCUGGGCGUGCUGCGGGUUCCGGCCGUUAAACCACCUUUUAACCCAAGGUUGACCUCGGAUCAGGUAGGAAGACCCGCUGAACUUAAGCAUAUCAAUAAGCGGAGGA
rnacentral:misc_RNA from 1 species